rnacentral:rRNA from 1 species
CUCGUGUUGUGAAAUGUUGGGUUAAGUCCCGCAACGAGCGCAACCCUUAUCCUUUGUUGCCAGCGAUUCGGUCGGGAACUCAAAGGAGACUGCCGGUGAUAAACCGGAGGAAGGUGGGGAUGACGUCAAGUCAUCAUGGCCCUUACGAGCAGGGCUACACACGUGCUACAAUGGCGCAUACAAAGAGAAGCGACCUCGCGAGAGCAAGCGGACCUCACAAAGUGCGUCGUAGUCCGGAUCGCAGUCUGCAACUCGACUCCGUGAAGUCGGAAUCGCUAG